rnacentral:rRNA from 1 species
GUGAGGAAUAUUGGUCAAUGGGCGAGAGCCUGAACCAGCCAAGUCGCGUGAAGGAAGAAGGAUCUAUGGUUCGUAAACUUCUUUUGCAGGGGAAUAAAGUGCGGGACGUGUCCUGUUUUGUAUGUACCCUGAGAAUAAGGAUCGGCUAACUCCGUGCCAGCAGCCGCGGUAAUACGGAGGAUCCGAGCGUUAUCCGGAUUUAUUGGGUUUAAAGGGUGCGUAGGCGGAUUGGAAAGUCAGCGGUGAAAGUUUGCAGCUUAACUGUAAAAAUGCCGUUGAAACUGUCGGACUUGAGUGUAAAUGAGGUAGGCGGAAUGCGUGGUGUAGCGGUGAAAUGCAUAGAUAUCACGCAGAACUCCGAUUGCGAAGGCAGCUUACUAAGCUACAACUGACACUGAAGCACGAAAGCGUGGGGAUCAAACAGGAUUAGAUACCCCAGUAGUCC